rnacentral:rRNA from 1 species
UACGAAGGGGGCUAGCGUUGUUCGGAAUUACUGGGCGUAAAGCGCACGUAGGCGGCCAUUUAAGUUGGAGGUGAAAGCCUUGGGCUCAACCCAAGAAUUGCCUUUGAUACUGGAUGUCUCGAGACCGGGAGAGGUGAGUGGAAUUCCGAGUGUAGAGGUGAAAUUCGUAGAUAUUCGGAAGAACACCAGUGGCGAAGGCGGCUCACUGGCCCGGUUCUGACGCUGAGGUGCGAAAGCGUGGGGAGCAAACAGG